CCUACCCAAAUUAAUUUAAAAAUUAAUAGCAAUACCAACUAAAAAAACUCCCUAUUUCUGCUGAGGGAAGGAAAGGCUCACAAACUCGAUUCCUGACAUUUCCCUUUUCUUCAAUACCCAUAUCCAAUCAGUUACGAAGUCUCUAAUUCCACAUCUUUUGCAUUCAUCCUCUUCUCUUCAUUUAUAUGAACACUAAUCUAGUUCAAGCAAUCAGUACCUUCUGCCUAGACUAUUAAAAAGGCCUUCCCCAACAUCCUCCACGUUUCUCGGCUUUCAUCUUUUCAUUCUCCACACACUGAUAAAGCAUUUAACUGCUUAGUAUGUGCUAGGUACUGAACUCAGUGCUAGUGAUAUAAAUACAACUACCAAGACAGUGCCUGACCUCAAAAUGCUUAAAUUCUAUUGGGGGGAUAACAACACAUUUAAGAGAAGUUUGAAAGUGGGGCUGGAGGAUAUGUGCUUUACCAAAAGUGGAACAUUAAGGGGAAGUACCACAAGAGGCCCAGCAAGAUAAGGUAAAAAGAUAAGGAGAACUGAAAGACUCAGGGGCCGACUUCCAAUUUACCAUUAGAGAGGAAAUAGGGGGUGAUGCUCCGAGUGAAGGUAGGAUGGUUUGGAAUAUUUGGAAGUGCCAAAAAAAAAUUCUUCCUAAAGCAUAAGGUUCCUAAAGCAAAAUUCUUUAGUAGUUCCUUAAUGCCUCCAAGAUUAAAAGGUAAACUCCUUAGAUUAACAUUUAAAUCCCUUCACAAUCUGGCUCUAACUUAUUUUUUCCAAAUUUAUUAUUGCCUAUGUUACUUCCCUUCAUUCAAUUCAACAAACAUGUAUUAAGUAUAUACUAUGAGUAAGGCAUUGUUCCAAGCCCCAGAAAUAAAAAAAAUAAAUUCCUCAACUGGGAAAUGGCUAAAAUAAAUUGUAGUACAUGAAUGCUGUAGCAGUAAUAUUCCAUGAGAAAUAAUGAUGAAAGAGUUGAUUUUAUGGAAUCUUGGGAAGUAUAAAGUGAUGUAGAAUGAAUUGAACAGAACCAGAACAAUUUAUACAAUGACAAUAUUGUAAAUUUUUAAAAAUAAAAUAAAAACUAAGAAUGCUGAUUAAACCAUGACCAACCAUAUUCCAGACGAGUUAAUAAGGAUGCUACCCACUUCACUGAUAAGAAUGCUG
rnacentral:lncRNA from 1 species